AUCUUCGGGGCAGGGUGCAAGUCCCUACCGGUGGUACAGCCCACGAGCCGCCUCAGCGGCAGAUUCGGUGUAAUUCCGAAGCCGACAGUACAGUCUGGAUGGAAGAAGAG
rnacentral:ncRNA from 1 species